CUACGGGUUGCUCCAGUGGGGAAUAUUGGACAAUGGGCGCAAGCCUGAUCCAGCAAUGCCGCGUGAGUGAAGACGGCCUUAGGGUUGUAAAACUCUUUCGCUAGGGAAGAUAAUGACUGUACCUAGUAAAGAAGUCCCGGCUAACUCCGUGCCAACAGCCGCGGUAAUACGGAGGGGACUAGCGUUGUUCGGAAUUACUGGGCGUAAAGAGUUCGUAGGCGGACUGACAAGUUAGAGGUGAAAUCCCAGGGCUCAACCCUGGAACUGCCUUUAAAACUGUCAGUCUAGAGACCGGAAGAGGUUAGGGGAAUAACUAGUGUAGAGGUGAAAUUCGUAGAUAUUAGGUGGAACACCAGUGGCGAAGGCGCCUAACUGGUCCGGUACUGACGCUGAGGAACGAAAGCGUGGGGAGCAAACAGGAUUAGAUACCCCAGUAGUC
rnacentral:rRNA from 1 species